GAGUUCAUUUCACUUGGCAUCUUCUAAUGUGAUUAUAUGGGUGUAGCUACUUAGGUAUUUUGAUCUUCUACCAUGACUAGCCUAUUCAUGUACUAGCUAUUCCCUAUGAGGGACACCAAAGGGUUUAUGUUUCUUUGGGUCUGUGUCAAUUUACUCUGUGUGAU